CCUACGGGAGGCUGCAGUGAGGAAUAUUGGUCAAUGGACGAGAGUCUGAACCAGCCAAGUAGCGUGAAGGAUGACUGCCCUAUGGGUUGUAAACUUCUUUUAUAUGGGAAUAAAAUGUUCCACGUGUGGGAUUUUGUAUGUACCAUAUGAAUAAGGAUCGGCUAACUCCGUGCCAGCAGCCGCGGUAAUACGGAGGAUCCGAGCGUUAUCCGGAUUUAUUGGGUUUAAAGGGAGCGUAGGUGGAUUGUUAAGUCAGUUGUGAAAGUUUGCGGCUCAACCGUAAAAUUGCAGUUGAAACUGGCAGUCUUGAGUACAGUAGAGGUGGGCGGAAUUCGGGGUGUGGCGGUGAAAUGCUUAGAUAUCACGAAGAACUCCGAUUGCGAAAGCAGUUCACUGGACUGCAACUGACACUGAGGCUCGAAAGUGUGGGUAUCAAACAGGAUUAGAUACCCGGGUAGUC
rnacentral:rRNA from 1 species